rnacentral:rRNA from 1 species
GAGGAAUAUUGGUCAAUGGGCGAGAGCCUGAACCAGCCAAGUCGCGUGAAGGAAGAAGGUUCUAUGGAUUGUAAACUUCUUUUGUAAGGGAAUAAAAAGAGUUACGUGUAACUUAUUGUAUGUACUUUACGAAUAAGGAUCGGCUAACUCCGUGCCAGCAGCCGCGGUAAUACGGAGGAUCCAAGCGUUAUCCGGAUUUAUUGGGUUUAAAGGGUGCGUAGGCGGUUUGAUAAGUCAGUGGUGAAAGUUUGCAGCUCAACUGUAAAAUUGCCAUUGAAACUGUCGAACUUGAGUGCAAAUGAGGUAGGCGGAAUGUGUUGUGUAGCGGUGAAAUGCUUAGAUAUAACACAGAACACCAAUUGCGAAGGCAGCUUACUGGGAUGCAACUGACGCUGAGGCACGAAAGCGUGGGGAUCAAAC